rnacentral:lncRNA from 1 species
GAAUCUAUGAAUAACAUCAGUUUCUAAGUUAUGAGUUGAUUUUUAACUACUGGGUUUAGGCCAGGCAGGCCCAGACCUGGUUUCGGGCCUGGCGUCAGGCUGCCUGUCUUUGGUUUUACUUCCUUGUUGUUUUUUCUUAAAACAGGUACUGAGUAUAAAACAAUAUAAAACAGUACGAGAGGGUCUCUCUCUUCCCUCAUUUACAUCUGUGUAACCACUAUCCUAAUCAACAUAUAGAAUAUUUUAUCACCUUUUAAGUUCCUAUGUGACUUACUGUUGUCAAUGUCCUUCUUCCAUUCCCAAUACCUGGAAACUACUGAUCUGAUUUUUGUCACCAUCGAUCAGAUUUGCUUUUUUCUAAAAUUUCGUAUGUAUACAAUUAUAUGGUAGGUAUUCUUUUGUGUCUAGCUUAUUUCUUUCAGAAUAAUGCUUUAAAAUUUAUCCAUAUUGGUGAAAGAAUCAGUACUUUAUUUCUUUUGGUUGCUAAGUACUAUUCAGUUUUAUGACUUGUGAUAUUAUGAAGUAUAUAUUCAAUCUUUGACCCCUUUUCCUGACAUACGACUCCUAAAAUACUUAGAAACUCUGAAGCGAUGUCUUAUCUUUGUUAAUGAUUGACUGAACGGAUGGCUGGCAGCCCCUGGGUAACUUCAGGAUGGGGGAUGGGAGAGACAAAGGCAUGAUUAGAGAGUUGGGACUUUCAGCUCCAUCCCCAAUAUCUGGGAAGGGGAGAGAGUCUGAAGGUUGACUACCAAUGGCCAAUGAUUUAAUCAAUUAUGCCUGUUUAAUGAAUCUUCCAUAAAAACCUAAAAGGACUAGGUUCAGAGAGCUUCCAGAUAGCUGAACACAUGGAGGUUCCUUGAGAGCGGUGUGCCCCAAGACAGUGAGGACGCUCUGCACCCCUUUCCCCCAUACCUUGCCCUUUGCAUCUCUUCAUCCUUAUGCUUUGUAAUAUAUGUAUGCCUUUAUAAUAAACUAGUAAAUGUAAGUAAGUGUUUCUCUGAGUUCUAUGAGAUGUUCUAGCAAAUUAAUUAUUAAUUGAACUCAAAUGGGGGGUCAUGGGAAUCUCAAUCUGGAAAGAAAAAUAAAAUCUGAAAACCACAAAGUUAUUAUGCCAAGGGGAAAAUUAAGGUUGGAAACGGAGUCACACAAAACACUGCCUUCCUUCUGUUCCCAAACAGGUAACUCUAAUUUCACAUGCUUACUCUAUCGUAUGUAAAAUGUAGAUUUACUGAGGAUGAGAUGAAUGCUUAAUUGAUUUUUUCCUCUACUCUCUUUUUUUCACACACAAAAUGUGGAUUCAUUGAGUGUUAAUCAAAGCCUUAUAAGAAUGUAACCACUUGUCUCAUUGCCUACUGUCCCUCCUUUUUUCCCCUUUCCCUCCUGCUUGCUCUUACACCUUAAAUAGUUAAGUUUCCAAAACCCUCUUUGGAAAAACACAGGUCAAGGAUCCUACUGUGACUUAUGUUUCUAUUUCCCAGGCAUAUCCUCGACUGGCAAAAUAAACCUCUAAUCAAUAGAGAUCUGCCUCAGUCACUUUUUGGCUUACAUGUUGGUGACCACGAAGGGACUCUGAGUGGAGUCUGGCUCUUGGCCUCCAGCAGGUCUCCUAUUGGGGCCCUGGUACCGGCUGGAGCUCUUUAUUACUCUUACAGAUUGGAUGAUUUGCUAUGUAAGUUCUGGGAACUUCUCCCUCCAGAGAUCCCUGAUCUCCCCCAAAUUUUCAAUUGGGAUCUGAGGUUUAUUCUGCUGUAAAACUCCUUUUCUGGUAGUUUCUGCUUCCAUGAUGGCAGACAGCAGUCUUCAGCUUGGGUCCAUCUCCAGGUAAGGAGCUGGUUUCAUAUUGGGAUUUGGUAGCUGAAGGGCAAGGUUUAUUGUCAGUUGGCUAUAACUUACCCUUAUGCUGAGAGAUCGCAAUUAUAUGUGAAUUCUGUGAUCACUUUUUCUGGUUUUUCUUUUCAGUUUUGGUCCACCUUCUGUUAGACUUUACCAACUCCUGGCCCCCUCUAAUGUUGAAUGAAACUCUGCAGCUGGAGAAAGUCAAUUUUCACUUCUAAAAACCCUGGCUGGGUAAGAAAGGUCAACAAUUUGACUACCUGAGAAGUUUCAUUUACACAACAAGACCCUUUUCCCAUCCUUUCUUUCGGUGCAAUUAAUUUAAAGAUUUUAGGGAUCUCUUAUUCUAAACAAUUAACAAAGAGAUCACAUUUAAAAAGGACAUAUAAUAGUGUCAUGGCCAGCCUUAAAAAUUCUCUUGACUAAAUUAAGAGUGAAAAAUCUGACCUAAACCAGUUCUGGUAGGUAAAAUUCCUGCAGAGGCUUGGGUUUGCUUUCUGGUCAAGGAAAAACAAAGGCCACUCCACCUGUGGCCCAAUAGUUAAAAUUCUGCACUUUCACAUCCACAGGGUGAGUCUGAUUACUGGUCAGGGAUCCAGCCCCUCUCGGUUUAAUAUUUGUGUGACUUUUUUGUUGGGUAUCAAUUUAUUAUUGAUCUUUAUGAUUGAUCUUUCCCACUUCCAUAGCUUUUUGUUUCCUGUCUUUUUUCAUCUGUUGGGGGCACAUGAGGCUUUGGGGCCUUUGUGUGCAUAUGGUCAGCUGAGAAGUAAUAUCAUCAGGAAGACGGGUGCUUCACCAUGCUUCUGCCUGUACCAGUGUACAGAAUAUAAAGCCUUGGAGGAACUGCAGUUGAUGACAGCAUCUUCCCCUUCUCGGAGGAUCACGGCUUGAGGACUCUGCACUGGUUGUUGGCUUCUCACCCCUGAUCAGAAAGACAAUCGAAUGAGAUGCUCAAUCUCGUGAAGGGAAGGGUGAUUUUCUCUCUUCCUUCCUUAUUUAAAACAUUAAGCAUCACCACAUAAUUACGGUACAUUUUCCUCACUUCUUAGGUCUGGUUCUUAAAAGGGCCCUUCCCAAGACAGAAAGCUAUUGUCAUUAAGAUGCUGUCAUAUCACAACCUCUCCCAGACUGAAUCGUGUACUCACAGGUCAACUGCCACAACAAGGUGCCUGAAAGCACUUUCAGGAGAGUCUCCAUCCUUGGCCUGCCAGAAUAUCCAGUCAGCUUCUGAAUGGGCUUCCUUAACAGGAGUUGCUUUGAACUCAGAAUGAGGCCUGUUGCAAUUGCUUCCAGGAUAUUGCAACUUUGGGGGCAACCAAUCAGAGACACAUCACAACAGUUUAACUGCAGAGAACUAAAUGCAUCUACCUAGAAUACUUUUUAAACAGCUCUCCCCUGUGGCCAGACUGAGGAAUGUUGAUUAAACUGUGGAUUUUGGCUUUUCUUGAGUAAGUUUUCAUACAGGAUAGGUUUUUUUCUUGCUAUAAGAAGGGCCUAUCAAUAUACUGUGUUACAGAAAGAAUUACUCCAGAAUUAAGAGAAAAAAGAAGUAUCAAGGGAAAAUGUAUUAUAUGUAUUUUACUACAUAUAUAUAUUUUAUAUACAUGCCCACACAUGGAUAUAAUAUAUAAGUAUGUGAACUCAUAGUAAUCUUUCAAACAGUGACAUUUCAUUAUAUUAUUUACUUGUGCAGAUUUCUUUCACUGCUCAUCAUUGUCUUCAAGAUAAUGUAAUGUACAAACAUCUUAUAAUGGCUUUUAAUUAUUUUCACAAAGUGGUUUCUGCUUAUUGCUUUAGUUUUAUAUUUACUGACAUACAUUUUGAGUUGUAUGCUCUGGCCAUCCUGAAUUAGUUUAAUGUCAUUCUCUUAACCUAAAUAUUGACUUCA